rnacentral:rRNA from 1 species
AUCACCGUCGGUCACGCGGCGUCGGUAAUUGUUAGGUGGGAGGUGGUAAGCUGAAAUGCUGGUAGUAAAAGCGGUGCAGGCGGGUAUGCAAGACCGAUGGGAAAUCCCCAGGCUGGACCUGGGAAAUGCAUUGGUGAGUGCAUCGCGGGAGUAGGGCAGAGGGGGGUAGAAGUCCACGUGUAGCAGUGAAAUGCGUAGAGAUGUGGAGGAAUACCGAUGGCGAAGGCAGCCCCCUGGGGCAAUACUGACGCUCAUGCACGAAAGCGUGGGGAGCAAACAGGAUUAGAUACCCCAGUAGUC